AUUGAACGCUGGCGGCAUGCCUUACACAUGCAAGUCGAACGGCAGCACGGGGCAACCUGGUGGCGAGUGGCGAACGGGUGAGUAAUGUAUCGGAACGUACCAUUGAGUGGGGGAUAACGUAGCGAAAGUUACGCUAAUACCGCAUAUUCUCUCCGGAGGAAAGCAGGGGACCGCAAGGCCUUGCGCUCUUUGAGCGGCCGAUAUCAGAUUAGCUAGUUGGUGAGGUAAAGUCUCACCAAGGCGACGAUCUGUAGCGGGUCUGAGAGGAUGAUCCGCCACACUGGAACUGAGACACGGUCCAGACUCCUACGGGAGGCAGCAGUGGGGAAUUUUGGACAAUGGGGGCAACCCUGAUCCAGCCAUGCCGCGUGAGUGAAGAAGGCCUUCGGGUUGUAAAGCUCUUUCGGCCGGGAAAAAAUCGCAUGGGCUAAUACCCUGUGUGGAUGAUGGUACCGGAAUAAGAAGCACCGGCUAACUACGUGCCAGCCGCCGCGGUAA
rnacentral:rRNA from 1 species